rnacentral:rRNA from 1 species
CCCUUAGAUGUUCUGGGCUGCACGCGUGUUACAAUCGGGAGUACAACAAGAUUGCAAAUCCUAGUGGAUGAGUGGUUCUUCGAAAUUUUCUGAAGACUGGGAUAGUUGAUUGAAAUUAUUCAACUCAAACGAGGAAUUCCUUGUAAUUGUAAUUCAUUAUAUUGUAAUGAAUACGUCCCUGCCCUUUGUACACACCGCCCGUCGCUCCUACCGAUUGAACGAUCCGGUGAAUUAUUUGGAGUAGCUCUGGAAGUUGCAGAACUUCCUAUGUCACGAAAUUUUGUAAACCUUAUCGUUUAGAGGAAGGAAAAGUCGCAACA